AGAAAAUACUUGAACUUUGAGAAAAGAAGAAAAACCAAAACAAUACAGUAAGAUCAAAGCAAAAUCUCUGUUAAUUUUUCUUUUACAGAGUUUCCUUCUUUUCCUCCUUGUAUUUUCGGGGAUGUUUUUGCUCUUGGAGGUCACCCUAAGCUAUUCUUUGGAGAAAGAUGACAUGGAAACCUCGAUAGCAUUAAAGCAAUCCCAAAAGGGAUUAGGAUCAGAUCUGAGGACAAAAUUUCUGCUUCAAUCAACCGUAACUGUUCCACUGCUCUUGUUUUGCAUACAAGAAUCCAAGAUGUGAAGGCAGUGUGGCAGAAGCAGCUCUGCAAUAUGCUCUGAAGAGGACGACUUCACUAAGCGUUUGGCAUUUUCUUCCUUGAGAUAACACAUGGUAAUAGAAAUAAAUCAGAGCUGGAAGGACAGAUCGCUUCCUAGCUGUGCCGUUCACUUAACAAAAUGGACUCAUCCUGCAAUGGGACAUUUUCCACCAAAACCAGUUGUUUGUAUGCAUCUGCACUGAGUAUGUACUCUUUCUGAAUCUGAGUCCACGGGCAGAAGUGGUCACCAAGUCAGAGGAUCCUAAAAGAGCUAAAUGAAGCACAAAAUGUUCCAGGAGUGCCUGACUCACAGUAAAUGGCAGCCAGUCUUUGCUGAGCCCAGCAGCCAUGAAACUGAGGCCUGGAAAUUGAGGAAAAGAAACACUAAUGACCUGGAAACGUAUGGCCUGGAAAGAAACACUGCCCACAGAAGGAGCAGAAACAGCUUCCCUCCUACCACCCCACUGAGUCUCAAAAAAGAAUUAUUCUUUUCUUUGUGUUCAUCCUGCAUCUCUGACACUCUCAUGAAAUCAUGAAUUUACAUCAGCCAGGUGCCUCGGUGAAGGAAAUGAAAAUACUGGACUGUUUUGCAAGAAGAAAGACGCUGAAGAAGAACAUCCAUCAGGAGACCUUUUGGCCCUUUCUUUUCAUUCUGUGGAGAAUCUAAGCUUCAGGACAUCAGGGGCCAGAGUUCCCAGGGCCUCUUGUUUCCUACCUGUGGCCAGCCCAACGAUGACUUGCCCUGGAGUGGGGAUGUCAGCAGCAAUCCACUCCUCAGCAUCAUAUCAAGCAACCCAGCAGGAAACCACUUCAUGACCCAUCUUACUUGUGCUUUAUCAGAAGACUGUCAAACAGACACAUUUCCUAAAGACAUUGUCAUUCUAAAUUGCCCUUUUCUAAUCUGUUUCACUGGAAAAUUCCUGAAAUGCCCUAACUAAUAUCCAAGGAUGCGAAAGAAACUGAAAGGUAGCAAGUAAGCUGAGAAUUAUUUCGAACUUUUUCCCUGUGCAACAUAAUUCAGAUAUGAAACCCAUUAGGCCAUAGUGUCUCUUAGGCCAGGAAUUUAGCAAGAUUUGGAAAGAGCUGGGAAUGUAUGUUGAUGUGCUUAUUUGCAGUAGUGUUAAGUAAUGCCACAAAAGUUGGUUUGGGAAGUGUUGUGAGAACUAUUAAAUCAGGACACAAGCUUGUGCCCUGUCUGCUAUUGUUUAGGAUGAGACCUUCACUGAUCUCUCUUGCUAUAAUGGGCUGAAAUGUAAUUGUAUUACCUAUAGAUGUGUAUUGUAGAGGUUGUUCCUUGUGAUCUCCCUGUAUGAACAACCAAUGAGUUUCAGUUCUAGUCACUAUCAGAGUAAUAGUGUUCAUUUACUUGUAUCUCAUCCUGAUUGGAUGGGAGAGGCUUAAAUAACAAGAUUUCCUAUUAAAUAUUAAGACUCUUCUUUGAUGCCCUAAAGAUGUUUAAUCUGAGAGAUUAUUUCCUUGAUGUUCUGAGUUGCCAUAACUGCCUUUGGAAACAUAGAGGAAAAGAGGCUUUUUCUCUUCCAAGGGGCUUGGGCCUAUGCUUUUGAGACCAAGGAGGGUUGGAGGUGAGGAAUGGGCAGCAAAAGUUUCUGGGGUGCCAUGUCUGCACAGGGAUAUGUGGGUACAGUAUCCUCCAGGAAGGGAGGAUAGUUUGAGGGAGGAACUGGAUGUCUAGCAAAUGACAUUUCAAAUUCCUGAACUGCAAAGUCAUGGCCAAGUUUACAAUGACAGACUUUGCUGUCUCACUAAUUUUGUCAGGUAGGUUAAGGUCAACAUUUCUAGCAUACAAAAUCACUUUUUGAGCAUGAUUCACCUCACUUAAUUUUAGCCACUUAAGACUAAGUCUAGUGAUGGAGAGCCCCUAUAUCCUCAGCACAUGGAGAAAAGCCUGUCAACAGGAUGAUUCAUCUAUCUGGUCUCUGAUAUCUGUGACAGAACAUGUUGAACCACUCUCAGAAGAGCUCAUCUCUUUCCACUGACUUGAGCGGGAGUCCAGACACACCAGGUCAUGCUAGAUGCGUAAUGCUCAGUCAUCUCAAGUUAAAUGAGAUAAAUCUUCCUCCUUGGGUAGCUGUGCUUAUAGCAGAAAUAGCAAAAAGCACUAAUAAACUUUAUUAUUAUUUAAUCACCUCAUGCUCACUGAAAUGGCCAACACAAUGUAAAUUGUACGAGUACCAGCAAAGAGGAGGCUGCCUUCAGAGCUAUGUCAGUAAGGACCCACAGCUACAUUCCUUUCCCUUUCAGCUCUUAGACUUUAAUCUCUGUCAAAUUCUCUUCUACUUUUUCUCAACAGGUGAGUAAUAUCACAUGGAGCUGAGAAAAAAUGUAAGAACAUGGGAGCAUAUUAGCUCUGGUGUGCACCAAAGCUUUCUUGUUUUUUGUCUCCUGUACCCAUUGGCCUAAUGAAAGAUACUAGCUUUGCCUACUUCCUAUUCUCUUACCAUCAAGGCAGCCACAAAACUCCCUUUACCUUGCCCUCAGCUGAUCUCUGAUGAAGAACAUACUCUAAGCCUGUUGUGAGAUAAACUUGUGCUUUUAAAAUGUACACUUGUCUAUUGGUGCCUCAAGCCAGCAGAAUUGCUUGUGUCUUGUAAAAUCAGAACAUGCUUAAGCAUCUCCUGGUGAUGAGAUGCUCUCAUCUGCAAAUAGCAACACUUGUGGCUUUUUCACGUAAGAACUUGAGAGGUUAUGCAUCUAUGAAAGAGGGAUUUUCUGCGUUUUAUCCACAAAAGCAAAUUGACUUCCAGAAGUCUAUAAGUUUCCCGGACCAGAAAAUCACUGGAAGCAGAAAUGAAUGACAAAAAAAACCCAUACAUGGGACAGCAUUACUCAUGCAAUGACUCUGUCUCUUACAGGAAGAAAAAAAUCCCAGAGAAAACCUCAGAGGAGAAGCACGCAGGGAAUUUCUGUGCUUCACAAAUCCCUCGUUUUGGGUGCCUAAGUAACAGUGCAUGCCAUCUGGGACACUUCUUGCGCAGUCACACUUUGGUAGCUGCUCAUUGUCCUUCUAGGGAAAUAUACAGUAAGUCGUGCAAAUAGAGGCAGCGUGGAGACUUCCGUCUCCCACUGGCGAGGAAUGUGGGUGUGGAUCACACCAGGCUCCGGCCCGGCCCCUCUGGGGCACUGCCUUUGCAUGGCCUGAGAACAAUAACCACGGGGAAGUGUUAAGAGACCUUUGUGAUGGGGGUGGAGAGGAGAAAAAAAUACCAUCCCAGCGCAUUGCAUAGUGCUAUUUCUGGAGAUCAAUGGUAUGUGCGUAUGUUGACAUGCUGCCUUUGCUCACCUGUCCAGGAUGCUCACAGAAGUGGGUGGCUGAUGUUAUGGCACAGACCGUGCAGUGGCCUUGGUUUCCCCUGAGGAUGACUUGUUCUUGGAUGGGGUGACAGUUCCCUCUGUUGUAAGCUGUGGCUUCUCACUGCUGCCAGAGGGGAGCUCUGCAAGCGCUGCCUCUUAGGAUGCACCUGGUGGAGAGACUGAGAAAGCAGCCGCGGCACAAGCUUAAGAGCAUCCUAAAAUAGCUAGCUACGUGUUUACCACCAUCUGCUUUGCUAGCCAGCUCUCUUGGUCUUCACGCAUAUCAAAGUAAUUAAGUGCUGCAGCUCAUUUUCAUGUUGUGUGGGGCUCAUGUGCACAUAUCCCACCCACAUCGAAGAGAACAUGUAUUCCCUGUGCUGUGGUUUGGAGCAAGUAGCUCCUGCUAAAGUUUCUUAUGUAACACCACCAUCUUGCUGGCUAUUUCUAAAUCCAGACUGGAUGCUUGCUUAAAAGGCAUCUUAAAAAAUCUGAGCUGGGAAGCCCUUGAAGAGGGCUGCGAUAACCCAUCCUUUCGCACCUGCAAGACAAGAGCCAUGCCGUACUUCUGGCACUGCCGUCAGCGUGGGCAGCCUUCUCCAAUGGCCAGGACUAUACUAUGUCCACUGGCAAAGGUUAUGACCACUCACCACAGCUACUGCAACAAAAACGCCGGCUGUUUUGGUCGGUGGGAUCUUAUCACCAGCAGUAACAAAGGAGGGAAAUGUAGGUAGCCAGAAAGGACCCAUGGGUGCAGCGGUCAGGCAGUGAUGCUAAUCAGUAUUGUAAGAGUGGAUUGCCUGUCCGUGUGCCCUCCCAGCCCUGCUAAGUAGCAGAUGCCUGUGGCAGGUUUGAUGUUUUUGGACAUUAGCUGCUGCUGCCUGCAGCAGCCAUUGCUGAUGCUGCAUCCUCUCAAAACUCAGGACAGUUAUUUAGCUGUUAUUAUCUGGAAGAUAACAGUUGCUUGUGGGCACUCCUGUUUGAAAGUAUCUGACAUUUGACAAAUGUCUCUCAGCUACUACAAACAAAUAAAUGUUGCUUUUCUUCUUUGCUCUGAUUUCCCCAGAAGCAAAUGCAGUGUAAAUAAGCAAGCUGUGACUGUCUUUAGCUCUGGUUCUGUGCU